rnacentral:rRNA from 1 species
GAUCAUGGCUCAGGAUGAACGCUGGCGGCGUGCCUAAUACAUGCAAGUCGAACGAAGCACCUCGGUGCUUAGUGGCGAACGGGUGAGUAACACGUGGGGUAACCUGCCCUCAAGACGAGGAUAACCGUUGGAAACGAUGGCUAAGACUGGAUAGGAAUACGGGAGGCAUCUUCUGUAUUUAAAAGACCUGGCAACAGGUAUGCUUGAGGAGGGGCCUGCGGCGCAUUAGUUAGUUGGUGAGGUGAUGGCUCACCAAGACGAUGAUGCGUAGCCGGACUGAGAGGUUGAACGGCCACAUUGGGACUGAGAGACGGCCCAAACUCCUACGGGAGGCAGCAGUAGGGAAUCUUCCGCAAUGGACGAAAGUCUGACGGAGCAACGCCGCGUGAGUGAAGAAGGGUUUUUACGGAUACGUAAAACUCUGUUGUCAGAGAAGAACAAGUUGGAGAGUAACUGCUCCAGCCUUGACGGUAUCUGACCAAGAAAGCCACGGCUAACUACGUGCCAGCAGCCGC